CUUCGUGGAGUCAGAUUCUCAGUGAAGAACAUGGAAAUGAGGAUGCUGAAGGUUCAAACAAGCCUCAGAAACACAAAAUUUCUCACCAAGGAGAGAGAAUAAAACACUAUGGCAUGAAAAACAAAGAAGAAGCCCAGUCCUACACUGUGGAAUGUGGAUUUCUGAAGCUGCAUCAACAAAAAUCUCGGUUCAAAAAUUUGAGCUAGAAGACUCCAAAUGGCAGUUUUUCCUCUGUGUUUUUGGCUGCCUACUGCCUGGCCAUUGACAUGUUCUCCAGUUAGCUUGGGGAAGAAAAAUAACUUCUGGUGAGCUCUGGAUUUGUGCUGAGAAGAACAUCUUAAGUCAUUGGGCUCUUUCUGAUCAAAGUGAAUAGCUCGCUGCUGUGUUCCUCUUUCCUGUGGGGCCUGGUUUUCCUGAUUUAACACUCCUCUGACCAUCUUGGCCUUCACGAGUCACUGCUGGUUCUUCGUAAGUCAAGACAGAUCCAGCAUAUUAAAGAUGAAGAUGGAUGAUGGCACAUCUUGAUUAAAAACCUUUCUCUGCAACGGUAAAGUCUUCCCCUUAUGCUCAAGAGACUGAGAAUGAUGAGCCAACCAGCUGCUAAGUGGAAGCAUCAUCAGCCUGUAGAGGUCAGAUCCACCUCGGAAUGUAUCUGAAAUAUACUACAGAAAACAACUUCAGGGAAUUUUACUGCCAUAAGCCGUAAGUCUUCAUAAAGCUCCAGCUAAAACAUGUCCUUUCCUUCUCCUUUUGCUUGACUGGUAGACCCAGCUCAGUGUGAUCUGAAUGUUCAGUACAUCUGCUCUCUAACACUCUCCAACAACAACAAAAAAGUUGAUGGGUUUCUUGAUUUCAUGGUAUUUUAUGCUCUUAAAUGUGUGACAUGUAAUGAAACAGAUAUUUCAGAUGAAGAUACUAGAAAAAUGUCAAACAUUAUCAUGUUGUGUUUUGCUAUAAAAUACAUUUGAUUUUUUUUUCUCCUUGGUAAUUUUCACCUAACCUUGUUUAGCUCGUAGUUGGAGAUUCAAUAGUCCUCAAAUAACACAUCUUGCAUUUGUUACUAUUGAACUUGAUCCAAUUGCUAUUACACUAUUUCUUUAGAUCAAUUAAUUUCAUGAAAUUGUUAACUUACACUAUUGACAAUGUCUCUCAUUUUGACCUUCUCAGCAUUACUUACUCUUUUCUAUUGACUAUAUUAUAAAUGAAGUUGUUAUUGAGGUACUCAGUGGUGUUGAUUCUGUGUUCAGACUCCCUUUAUCCUGAUGCUUCAACAUGACCCUCUAUUGCCUUCCUUUAAGUUCUUAAGAAAUCUAAAAUUCAGAUCCCCGUCUUUUCCAAUGUAGCUAAAUUUUCUUGCAAUAAUACAUUAAAAGCUUUUUACAGAAACUGCAGCUAUUCCAAGUGAUACAUAUAAUUUUAUUAUUAUUUUAGAUCUUCUCUAUAAGUUCUCCAGAAAUUCUGAAAUGGGUGUGUUCUGAUACAAGCACAGAAUACCAAUAUGGGAUUUCCUCUCCCAAUUUAAGAUUCUAUGAUCUCCCUGUAGCUAAUAGAUUAGCAGGGGAUAUAAAUAAAAUUAACAAAUCCUCCUUCAGGAAUAGACAAAUAGAUCUCUGCUUCUAUCAAGGGAGCCUGUGUUCGUUUAGAUGACUACUGUUAGAGAUACAAAUUUAUUAUGACUAUUCUUAUUGCAGCUUCCCUAGGAAUAAACCUUAAUUAUUUAGUAUUUCAUAAUAUAAAAGAAAUCUAGAUUUAAAUGUUAUUGGCACUCAUUGCCAAAAGAAAACUGGUCCACUCCCCACAACCUGUGCAUUGUCCAGACCAAUUAUUAAGCUGUUUUUUCCCUUGAUUGUUUGUUCAGACACUGGGAGUUUCAAGUCUAGGAGCAUAAGAAUGCAGCAGCUUAUCUUUGAACAGGGGACUGAUUGAGAGAAAGAGCAGUGAUCUGUUUGUUUCAGUUAGCAGCAUUUGGUGUUAAGUAUUUGAUAUAUUGUAGAGAGAUUAGUUGCAUAAACCACAGUGGUUCUGUCUUCAGGGGUCUGCAAGGAUUUAUAAUUCUUUCUAAAAAGAUCAACAGGCAGUUGAAGUUCUGUCACCGUGACCAUGACAAGGUACUUGGAUCCUCAACUGUUAGAAGAGGACUUGUUCUCUGUCUUUGCUGUCCCUACUCUGUCUAGAAUCAGAACAGUCCUAGAAGUAGCACUUGGACUUGAGGAGGACAUCCAGCAGAGGUAGCUCCUAUUACGUCUUUGUGCUCUUGGCCUUGGUGUAAACAGGACACUUGAGAAACCACAGACUGGAGGAGGCAGGGAUGUGCCAAGCGCCAGCUGGAUCUGCUCCCUGACAAAGUCACAGAGGCAGGAGAGCUACCACUUGUAGCUCCUCCUUUGGGCAUUUUCAAAUAAAGAGCUGGGACCAGUCUGCAGGUAAGGGAGAAACUGUCAUCAUUUGAACAAGAGAAAUAAUAGAAAUAGUAGAAAAAGUUAGGAGAUGCAGCCUGAAAAAAAAAAAAAGUUCUUUGUACUGCACACACUCUUCAGUUGCAUUCUGAUAUCUGUGUCAAAACCUGGCAGACAGAAGUUUUGAUAAAGUAAGGAUAUGAUCUGGCUUGGAGCUGGAGUUCAGGAGUAUCCUCUUUAUUGUAACUGCUAUGUCAAGAGGAUUUUGUACCUGAUAUUAAGCAUUUCCAGAUAUGAAGUCUUCAAAUCCUCUAAGAUACAAUUAAUUUACUGCCAUCUGAUUAAAAACAAAGAAACAAACAAAACAAAACAAAAAAACAAAACAAACAAACAAAAAAAACCAAACCCAAACAAAACUUCAUG